AAAGGAUCUCAUUUUUGUUUUAGAACAUUUCCCUAAAGUAUCCCAGUUUUUCAUAUUUUCUUAUCUGUAAAUUCACAGUUUGUUUCCACAUAAGUAGCAGAGUCCUCAGCCUACGAACCAAGUCAAUACAUGAUACAAGCCUGAUCUACCUGACCUGUGAAUGUUGCUGCUGGUAAAGGUGACAGUGAAUUGCCAUUGAAAAGAGACGGGGUUUCACCAUGUUAGCCAGGAUGGUCUUGAUCUCCUGACCACCUGAUCCACCCGCCUCAGCCUCCCAAAGUGCUGGGAUUACAGGUGUGAGCCACUGCACCCGGCCUAGAUGCCAAUUUUCUUCCAUCUCUGCCACCUUUGAGACAGCAAGACCAACUCGCCCUCCUCCUCAGCCUACCCAACAUGAAAACAACAAGGAUGAAGACUUUUAUGAUGAUCCACUUUCAUUUAAUGAAUACUAAAUAUAUUUUGUCUUCCAUGUGAUUUCUUAGUAUUUUCUUUUCUCUAGCUUAUUUCAAAG
rnacentral:lncRNA from 1 species